AUGCCCAAUGGGGCACAAGCUUCGACUGAGGAGGGCGAGGCGAGCGGAGGCGAAAGCCAGGAAGAGGAGGAAUGGGACUCGGAUGUUGCAGAGGACGAUGACGAUGAUGAUGAUGAUGCCGGUGAUGAAGACGACGUCGAGGACGAGGAAGAGGAGGAGGAGGAGGAGGUCGUGCCACCGCGCUCGAAAAGGCGGUCGAAGCUCGUCCACGACCCUUCGACUGGACGUGGCAAGGGGGUUGCGACGCAGUCGACCAAGCGCCCUAGGACCACCUCUCCAGCGCCGACUGAAAAGGCGCCGAAGCAGCCCAGGGCGGCCUCGUCGAAGCCGAUCAAACUCUUGCCGAAGAUGAAGGUGUCCAUCCCUACCAUAUCAGGGUAA
rnacentral:rRNA from 1 species